GCCCUGGUGGUGAAAUUGGUAGACACAAGGGACUUAAAAUCCCUCGCCGAAAGGCAUGCGGGUUCGAUUCCCGCCUAGGGCACCA
rnacentral:tRNA from 1 species